ACGUAGGGCCGUACUAACUUGAAUAUGCCCAAUCUUGUCUGAUCUCAGAAGCUAAGCUAAGCAGGGCUAGGCCUGGUUGGUACCUGGAUGAAAGACCAAGUGUCAGUCACCACUCUCUCUAUGAU
rnacentral:rRNA from 1 species